GAUGAAGAACGCAGCGAAAUGCGAUACGUAAUGUGAAUUGCAGAAUUCAGUGAAUCAUCGAGUCUUUGAACGCACAUUGCGCCCACUGGUAUUCCGGGGGGCAUGCCUGUCCGUGCGUCAUUGCUGCCCUCAAGCACGGCUUGUGUGUUGGGCCUCCGUCCUCCUCCCGGGGGACGGGCCCGAAAGGCAGCGGCGGCACCGCGUCCGGUCCUCGAGCGUAUGGGGCUUCGUCACCCGCUCUUGUAGGCCCGGCCGGCGCUUGCCGACACAUCAAUCUUUUUUCCAGGUUGACCUCGGAUCAGGUAGGGAUACCCGCUGAACUUAAGCAUAUCAAUAAGCGGAGGA
rnacentral:misc_RNA from 1 species